AGUUUUGUGCAGUAUCGUAGUCUCUGAGGUUGAACUGAGGCAUGAUUAUUGCUAAUUGAAAACUUUUAUUAAUGCCCUACCUUAAUAGCUUGAAAUAUAGCUGUUAUUGGCAAUUUUUGGCAGUCUCUGUAGGGG
rfam:Chelonia mydas contig200145, whole genome shotgun sequence.